UAAUGGCGGAGGUGGCAUACCCGUUCCCAUUCCGAACACGGAAGUCAAGCCCUCCCGCGCCGAUGAUACUGCCCCUUGAAGGGGUGGGAAAGUAGGUCAUCGCCAGGC
rnacentral:rRNA from 1 species